UGUGGAUGUGGCUCAGUGGAAGAGUGCUUACCUUGUCCGUGUAAGGCCCUGAGUUCAAUCCCUAGCACCACAA
rnacentral:tRNA from 1 species